rnacentral:rRNA from 1 species
AUGGCGCACCCGGCCGCGGACCGCCGCCUCCGCUCCCCGCAGCCGUCGGCGCGCUGCGACCACGAGCACCACAACCGCUUCCUCCGCCCCGGCGCGCUCGCCAGGCUCCGCGACUCCAAGAUCGUCGCGCGCUCCCUCCGCUCCGCCGCCUCCGCGCGCCUCCUCUCGCCCUCCUCGCCCGCCCCCUUGUCACCCACGCACGCCGCGGAGACCGGCGUGCCGCACUUCGUCGGGGGCGCGCGCGGCGGCAUGCGGUACCCGCUCCGGAAGAAGCUCGCCGCCGCCAGGGGCGUCGUGUUCCUGCCCCCGCCGCCCAUGUCGCCGGGCGCCAUGGAGGCCUUCCUCGGCGCCUUCGCCGCCGCGCCGUCCGAGCUCCUCGCCGCGCACUGA